GGUGGCUGUUUUGCAUUGGAUUGAGACAACGUACAAACCUUAUCGAUAAACAAUUGGAGGGCAAGUCUGGUGCCAGCAGCCGCGGUAAUUCCAGCUCCAAUAGCGUAUAUUAACGUUGUUGCAGUUAAAAAGCUCGUAGUUGAAAUGAAGGGUAGUUGUGUAAUGAAUACAUUCGUGUAUUUUGUUAUUCUACUACCCUCCUUCUAAAUUCGAUAUAUGAGUAUUAAUUUACUUGUAUAUGGUUUUAGACGUUUACUGUGAGAAAAUUAGAGUGUUCAAAGCAGGCAUUUGCUUGAAUAUAUUAGCAUGGAAUAAUCAUGUAUGAUUUUCAUGAUGUAUUUGAUUGGUUUGGUUCAUGAGAAUAAGAUUAAAAGGGACAGUUGGGGGUAUUCAUAUUCAAUAGUCAGAGGUGAAAUUCUCGGAUUUAUGGAAGAUGAACAAGUGCGAAAGCAUUUACCAAGGAUGUUUUCAUUAAUCAAGAACGAAAGUUAGGGGAUCGAAGAGGAUUAGAUACCCCCAUAAUUCCCUAAAAAAA
rnacentral:rRNA from 1 species